AUAGUACUCCCUUCGUCCGGAAAUACUUGUCAUCAAAAUGGAUAAAAAGGGAUGUAUCUAGAACUAAACUAUGUCUAGAUACAUUCCCUUUUAUUCAUUUUGAUGACAAGUAUUUCCGGACGGAGGGAGUAUAUG
rfam:Triticum aestivum genome assembly, contig: Triticum_aestivum_CS42_TGACv1_scaffold_160488_2DL